UUUUCGUAGGUGAACCUGCGGAAGGAUCAUUAUUGAAGAACAAGAGCGCACUUCAUUGUGGCUCGACCCUUCAUAUCCAUUCACCCUGUGCACUGUAAUACCUUUUUUAUUAGACUCUACAAGUCAAAGAAUGUACUACUUUGUAUAAAGUAACAAAACUUUCAACAACGGAUCUCUUGGUUCUCGCAUCGAUGAAGAACGCAGC
rnacentral:misc_RNA from 1 species